AGGCGUUUCCUUCAUCGGGAAAAUGGAGACAAUUUGACACGUCAGAGUUUCCGGUCGUAGAUAAUGAACAGAAGAUGUCGCCCCCUGUGGCCGGGAGGACAAUAGCGUCUGCAGCUCCAUUGUGCGAGAAAAGGUACUUCAUAUUUCCUCCCACAGCAGAGGCAGCUUGGACUUCCUGCUUAAAGACGUUCAGGCAUGGACAAGCCACCACAUGCUGACGUGCAGUUUGGCUCCAGUGUCUCAUAACACUUCACUUGAAAAAUAUGUAUGGACUAUAGGUUACAUGCCUCAAACAUAGCAUUGCUGUGGUGUUUUAAUUCAUAGCGAGGCCACUAUCAGCAGGGAACUCCGACGCACGAGGCCCCGCGGCGACGCUGCAGCGCUCGGUGCGACGGGCACAGACGCGCCGUCAGCCUCCAAACCUCAGCCACAAGUUAUGUCUGGUGCACGGAAAAGAUGGCGUGGGCCUGCAGAGGAGUGGGGGCGGUGAGAGCGAGGAGUUUGGUGGUAACUCGGCUGGGAUCGGACGGAUGCGAUUUACAUUCCUCUCCGUGGAGGUGAUAUGGAGACAAGGUCGGACCGAGGCUAAUACGUAAAGCUCUGAUCUAAUGUGUGAUCGUCACUUUAUUAAUAAUAAUAUAUUUCUGUAUAUCCACAUGUUGCAUUAAAUCAACUAUAUCUCUGUAUAUCUCCUCAUCAAUUGUGGAAGAUGAAAUCAAUUUUCAGUCAUUAUUUAAGGAUUGCAAUCACAUGUAAUUUGCUUUUUGGCUUUUGUUUAUAUGUUUAGAAGACGGCACAGGUAACCAGGGUACAGACAACAGAUUAGUGUCCAUUACUAAUUUCUGCCGCCUGCGCUUAUGACAGCACCCAGUUCAACUCUCACUGGAGAAGAAAAAAAAAAAAAACAC